rnacentral:rRNA from 1 species
GACGAACCGUGCGAACGUUAUUCGGAAUCACUGGGCUUAAAGCGUGUGUAGGUGGAUGCCUAAGUACCUUGUGAAAUCCCACGGCUUAACCGUGGAACUGCUGGGUAUACUGGGUGUCUUGAGCCACUCAGGGGCUACCGGAACAAACGGUGGAGCGAUGAAAUGCGUAGAUAUCGUUUGGAACGCCAAUGGUGAAAACAGGUAGCUGGGGGUGUGCUGACACUGAGACACGAAAGCCAGGGGAGCAAACGGG